AGAUAAUCUAUUUUAGUUAACAAUUGGACAUCCUUCUCUUCUAUAAGUUCCUUUAGGUGUUUGGGGUUUUCCCCAGAUUUCAUUUAUAAAUGAAAUGUUUUUUUUACAAUUGGACUUCUCUUCUGUACUGGGUAUCACCCGAACCCCCUUGCAAAAUUAGUUUCUUCACAUUAUCCCUCUUCACAAAGUGGGAGGAGGCAUUUAUGAAUAUUUCUAAAGUGAAUACUUCUUUGAUGUCCUGACUUAUUAAAAGUGUAUUGAAUUUUCAGAUCGCAAAGAACAUGGAAGUGUUUAUAUGGUCCUGAGAUUAUAAGAGUCUUAAUAAUCAGGAUAGGCUUCAGAAUUUGAUGAGGUUUAACCUUUUUGCCUGUUCAUAUGCAGUUUGUAUAUGGAAAAGGAGGACAAUAUUUAUCACCUUUUUCCUCAUUGCUUCUUUGCUUCCAAGGGAAGAAGCUUUCUGCUUAGUACCUUCAGAUUUCCGCUUGUCUUUCUAAUUCUAAUCAUAUUGAUGACUGGCUUUCUCAAGUGAAGUUGAAGUCCUUUGGGGUAUGCUGUCGGGGCAUUCCUUUAGUUGCGUUGGCUUGAAAGUAACUUUAAACUUUUUGAAGCUAAGUCUUCUGAUAUAACUUCUUUUGGUGGAAAUUUACAACUCAUCUCCUUGUGGUGGGCUCAUAGUUAUAGCCAAUUCUUUUGCAAUUAUCCAAUUUCUUUGCAUCACAACAAUUGGUCAAAUUUUCUGCAAUUAGUUUUUUUGGGAUGGGGUUCACUUUUCACCGUCCCUAAGCUGUUUCUACUUCGCUUUUGUCUGAUGAUGUCUCUUAUAAAACAUCAAUGUGUGAUAGCAGAAGGAAAUUGUUAGCAGCCGGUCUUUUUUGCUGUCCAGACAUAUGGACGUGUUUUCUCCAUUAUUUUUCCUGUUUAAUUUUUUCUCGCUCUCAUUAUUUUUUCCAUUUCAUAGUCCUUGUAAAUACUAAAAUGUCUUCUGCAAUGCAGAUUGUUGAUAGGCUUCAUUGGUACAUAGAGAAAGGCAAUACAGAUUGAAAGAUUUUAGAAUAAAAAAUAGAAGCCAUGUUAGAUAUUCUCUUCGAAUUGUGCUCAGGGCAGCAAGUUAAUUGGGAGAAGUAAGCAUUAUAUGGAGGCAAUAUUGAUGAGGCUACAUUGAUCUCUACUUCUUCAAGGCUGAAUUGGGAGGCUGGUAAUUGCCUUUAUAUAUCUUGGCUUACCUCAUGGUGGUUAUUCUAAACAGCAGUCUUUUUGGCAGCCUGUUAUAGAUAAAGUCCAUUUGAAACUCGAUAAAUGGAAAAGGGUAUAACUUGUCCAGAGGGGCCGUUUAACUUUUUUUUUUUUUUUAAGAUAAGAAACAUUUCAUUGAUAAAUAAAAUCUGUACAACAUUUUCUACUCUGGGUAAAAUGGUUUCUUGUUAGAAAAAUCCUACUUGUUUGAAACCUUAAAAAGUGUCAUCUCUCCAUUGGGUACAUCCAAAUAUAAUGGUACAAAUAUGUGCUAUAAAAAGUUUCUUUAUCCUAUGACCAUUUUUUUCUUUAAAGAUAUGUAAGAAGUGACACUGAACUGUGUCCUUUGUAGCUAUGAUGCCCAAACAAUAAUCAGCUCGUUUGUAUUUAUAUUCAUCGUUAUAGACCUCUUGAAUUGUCUAUUUACCUAUAUUCCUAUUUAA